rnacentral:rRNA from 1 species
UACGAAGGGGGCUAGCGUUGCUCGGAAUCACUGGGCGUAAAGCGCACGUAGGCCGAUUGUUAAGUCAGGGGUGAAAUCCUGGAGCUCAACUCCAGAACUGCCUUUGAUACUGGCAACCUAGAGACUGGAAGAGGUUAGUGGAAUUCCCAGUGUAGAGGUGAAAUUCGUAGAUAUUCGCAAGAACACCAGUGGCGAAGGCGGCUCACUGGCCCGGUACUGACGCUGAGGUGCGAAAGCGUGGGGAGCAAACAGG